rnacentral:rRNA from 1 species
UACGUAGGGUGCAAGCGUUUGUCCGGAAUUAUUGGGCGUAAAGAGCUCGUAGGCGGUCUGUCGCGUCGGCUGUGAAAACUCGGGGCUCAAGCCCCGAGCUUGCAGUCGAUACGGGCAGGCUAGAGUUCGGCAGGGGAGACUGGAAUUCCUGGUGUAGCGGUGAAAUGCGCAGAUAUCAGGAGGAACACCGGUGGCGAAGGCGGGUCUCUGGGCCGAUACUGACGCUGAGGAGCGAAAGCGUGGGGAGCGAACAGG